CGUGACCGGCUGACACGAUCGUGAGCUCAUGUUUAUGUGGGUAUCAAUAUCAAAAUAAACAUAUUUUUACUAGGAAAGAUGAUAUCAAUAUGUUGUGUCUAUCGUGUAUUAUCAGAGUAACUGAAAUUAUUUAACGAAUUCGCGCUUAGUUUGAAAUAGAAUAUCCUAUAAAGAAGGCUGUGUAUUUUGACGACAAAACCGAUAAAGGUGUGCCUCUCACCCACGAUUUGGCUCUAGAGGUGUUAAAUGAUGGUAACUAGUCCGAAAUAGAAGAUUUAGAUGGCGAAAAUGAUGUUGCUUUUGACGUUCAGAU
rnacentral:lncRNA from 1 species